rnacentral:lncRNA from 8 species
CCACGUCACUGUCUCUCUACCUCCUCUCCUCUCUCUGUCUAUGUAUCUGUCUGUCUUUUAGGGGACUGCUGAAAUUCCAGGUCUGAAGGGGGCUCCAGGUGGCACAGUAAGAUAGUAUAUAAUUAUUAUCUUGUUUAUUAAACAGGAGUGACAUUUUUAGAGAGGAGUGAGGCUCUAUUCUAUGAAUCCUAUCUGAGCAGAUCUGACUUUUCCUAUAGGGCUUCAGAGGACUAGAUGGAGACAAAGGAGAUGCUGGACCCAAAGGAGACAGGGUAGAGACUUGAUUAUGGGUUUGGAAAGCCUUUUCUUGGAUGCAGUAGUACAAGAAUCAUGACUAUCACAAAGGUCAUGUUCAUGAAGAUCUCGUAAAAAAGAAAAUGUUUAUGAAAACCUUCAUAUCAUAUGGUGUUCUGAUACCGUUAGUAUUUUUUUCCCUCAGGGUUCUGUUGGUGCGUCAGGGAUCCUAGGCCGUCAGGGUGAGAGGGGUCAGAGUGGCCUCUCAGGCCUUCCUGGUGUCAGAGGUCAAGCUGGCCCCCAAGACAUUCCGGUAAACAUCAGGGUGACACCUGCUAUUCACAGCCUUUAUUAACAUACAUUAAUAACACUCUCCCCAUCUUCCUACUGUACCUCUUCUGCCGUUACAUACUGAUACAUGAUUCUUUUAAAAUGUAUGAAGGAUUAUGUUGGAUACCUGUAGUUUGUGUUUAUGAAAUGGCACAGCUCAUUUGAACCUUUGAUGAGAGAGGCUCUGAUCCCUUUCUCUCCCAUGCAGGGUGAAGACGGAGAGGUCGGCCUCCAGGGAGUGGUUGGAAAGGAGGGGUCAAAGGUCAGCAGAGUUUAUCACUGUCUGGUGGAGUGAUUACAACAAACUAGAAUUACUUUUUUUUUCCUGAGGGAACAACUAGAGCUCUUCUGUUAGACCUCUCCUUUGUUCUAGUCUACAUGCAGCUGCAUUCAAUGAGCCAAUAUUGAAUGGCCAGCUUCCCAAAGAUGUCAAAGUCUUAUAACCCGAGUUUCAAUACAAUACUAUAUAAUACUGACAGAGUUAUGUCAUGCCAUAUUCUUGUAUCACAUGCCAUAAUACAGACUCAUAAUCUUAAUUUUGAAUGUCUCUCUUUGUUUCCACCUAAGGGCCACAGGGGAACUCCAGGCCAUAAUGGGAAAUCAGGACCUAAAGGACCCAGGGGUCGUACUGGACAGCCUGGUCUUUUUGGUAUACCUGGAAUCCCGGUAAGAGAACAGUAUUCAUUCUCAUAUGAAUAUUACUUGACAGACAAUCCUUGAUGAAUACUGUAGCUAUAGUAACAAUCAGCUGUCCUUGUUGUGUGUGAUAUGUAUGCCAGACGUGUUUGUGUCUAUGUCUGUGCGUUAUGUUGCAGGGUUUUAGAGGCCUCAUUGGGACUGAGGGUGCAGAAGGAAAGCCUGGUACACAGGUUCCCAUUUUAUAACUUUUAAUUUUUUUAAUAUCACUUAUUAGGAUUUUCUACUGACUCCUUAUUGUCUACUGUGCAUUGUCAAUGCAGUUCCUUGAACAGGUACUAACCCAACUAUUUCAAUCAUUAUUGAUAAGUAGGUUUCAGGAUAAGUUCUGUGUACAGAUAGAUAGAUAGAUAGAUAGAUAGAUAGAUAGAUAGAUAGAUAGAUAGAUAGAUAGAUAGAUAGAUAGAUAGAUAGAUAGAUAGAUAGAUAGAUAGAUAGAUAGAUAGAUAGAUAGAUAGAUAGAUAGAUAGAUAGAUAGAUAGAUAGAUAGAUAGAUAGAUAGAUAGAUAGAUAGAUAGAUAGAUAGAUAGAUAGAUAGAUAGUAGGAUCUUAAUUUGAUCAUUCUUUUGUUGCAGAGAACUUUCCUGCACAACAGGAAAUGCAAAUUGUGGUGUAUUUGAGUUUUAAAAUGUCCACUUUGAAAUGUCAGACUUGAUUUGCCACUACAAAAAUGUCCAUGAAUUAUAAUCCACAUAAUAAUUCAAAUUUCCUUUUGCUGCAGGAUUAUUUUCCUGCUGUAGAAAACUGACUCAAAUUAAGAUCCUACAUCUGUACAGAAAAUAAAUGUAUGGCAUGAUAAAAACAAUAUGUGUAAUGUUUGUUGUUGUGUGUGAUUGUAGGGUGAGCUUGGUUCUGCUGGUAUUCCUGGAACUAAAGGACACAGAGUAAGUCACACCCCUUUAACCAAUCAGCUCUAAACAAGUAAAAGUCAACAGUAAAAAGAACAGAAACACAAAUGGCUCAAUCAUUGCUGCACUCUCAUAAACCACAGCAAUAAAGAGAGGUGUGAUUGGUUGCUUAUCAGAUGAUCCUCCUUAGACACAGACAUAACUGCCUGCCUGUGGGCCUGUGGUGGCUAUUGCUGUCACAGCUCUCCUGUUUAUAUGAGCACCUACAUGUCAGACAGACAAGACUAGAUAGUGUACCAGUAAAGAGGUUUACAAGAUACACAAGAGGUUUACCUGAUCAUCCCCAGGGGUUUGUAGGAUCAGUCAGUCAGUGUCUUUGUAAGACACAUUCAGCAUGGCACAGCCAGGGAUGAUCUGAGGUCCUCAACACUGCU